rnacentral:rRNA from 1 species
UGCCAGCCGCCGCGGUAAUACGGAGGGAGCUAGCGUUGUUCGGAAUUACUGGGCGUAAAGCGUGCGUAGGCGGAUCGACAAGUUGGGGGUGAAAUCCCGGGGCUUAACCCCGGAACUGCCCUCAAAACUGUCGAUCUAGAGACCGGGAGAGGUAAGCGGAAUUCCUAGUGUAGAGGUGAAAUGCAUAGAUACCACAAAGAACACCGAUAGCGAAGGCAGCUUACUAGGCCAUAACUGACACUGAGGCACGAAAGCGUGGGGAGCAAACAGGAUUAGAUA